CCCAGAGAAAGAAGUCUAGCACCUUUCUGGAAAUAGUUCCUUGUUGUCACAUUGCUAGAAAUACUGUCUGCAAGAAGAGCUGAGAUCUCCUCAGUCUGCAACCUCCUCAGCUAUGGCCAGAAUCCAGCAGUCCCUUAAGUGCCUGUAUCAGAGCUAGGAACCAAGAGGUCUUGCAGGCUGGAGAGGUUGGAGCUGAACUGGUACAGCUUCAUGAAUGUCAAGAGGUCUACAAUUCUUUCUGCUCAUAAAUGGAAAAUAAAAAAUUCAGAUUAUUCUUCACAGCCCAAUUGCCCAAGACUGCAAGUUAUUAAGCAGUUUGCCGGUUGCUGGAUGCAUG